ACGAACGCUGGCGGCGUGCUUAACACAUGCAAGUCGAACGGAAAGGCCCUGCUUUUGUGGGGUGCUCGAGUGGCGAACGGGUGAGUAACACGUGAGUAACCUGCCCUUGACUUUGGGAUAACUUCAGGAUACUGGGGCUAAUACCGGAUAGGAGCUCCUGCUGCAUGGUGGGGGUUGGAAAGUUUCGGCGGUUGGGGAUGGACUCGCGGCUUAUCAGCUUGUUGGUGGGGUAGUGGCUUACCAAGGCUUUGACGGGUAGCCGGCCUGAGAGGGUGACCGGCCACAUUGGGACUGAGAUACGGCCCAGACUCCUACGGGAGGCAGCAGUGGGGAAUAUUGCACAAUGGGCGGAAGCCUGAUGCAGCAACGCCGCGUGCGGGAUGACGGCCUUCGGGUUGUAAACCGCUUUCGCCUGUGACGAAGCGUGAGUGACGGUAAUGGGUAAAGAAGCACCGGCUAACUACGUG
rnacentral:rRNA from 1 species